rnacentral:lncRNA from 1 species
AAUCUCCGCUCAGUGAGUGGCGCUGCGAAGCUGCUUCUGCCCGGGAAGGAGGAGAGGGGCCUGGAACCGCCGAGGGAACCACCAGUUCCGACGCCCUGGGGUGGGCCCGGAGGACCGAGUGGCUGGGGCGGCACGGGGCGGGGGGCUGGGCGGGAGGAGCGGGGGUCCAGGAGGUGACCCAGGAGGGGGUAGGAUCGGGCUGGGCCUCGUGGGCUCCCUGCCCCCGGAGGGGGCGCGCAGAGGGAGGGCGGUAGCCCAGUGAGCGCGACCACUACUUCCCUGUGAACGCGAGAGCUCAGACAAGCCACAGGGGGCCAGAGCCGAGAAACCGGAAGACCGGCGAGGAGACCAUAGCACACUCCCAGGAAAGAGAGCGCGAGGGCUUGGGCCAGGAUGGGGGCAGUGCGGGGGCUGAGGAGUGGCCAGAUUCUGGGUGUACUUUGAAAGCAGAGCUGAUGGCCUUUGCGGACAGUUGGGAUGAGGGGUGAGAGAAAGGAGUGGAGGGUGACUCCAAGGGUUUGGCCAGAGCGACUGCCACAUUCAGCCUGGGCGACAAAAGCGAAACUACGUCUCCAAAAAAAAAAAAAAGUCUGCCAGGCGCAGUGGCUCACGCCUGUAAUUUCAGCACUUUGGGAAGCCGAGGCGAGCGGAUCAUUUGAGGUCAGGAGUUCAAGACCAGCCUGACCAAUGUGGUGAAACCCUAUCUCUACUAAAAAUACAAAAAUUACUCUGGUGUGGUGGCAGGGGCCUGUAAUCCCAGCUACUUGGGAGGCUGAGGCAGGAGAAUCUCUUGAACCCGGGAGGCAGAGGUUGCAGUGAGCUAAGAUAGCACCACUCUGCACUCCAGCCUGGGGAACAGAGUGAGACUCUGUCUCAAAAAAAAAAGGUCGACAACACAUAAGGCUGAAGGAGACUUAAAGAGACCUGACAACCAAAAGUGACAAGUGAUCCUGGGCCAGAAAAACCUAAAGGACUUUAUUGGGACAAUUGGUGAAAUCUGAACUCGGACUGUAGAUCCAGUAUGGAAUUAAUGUGAAACUUCCAGAAGGCCUUUGUUCUUAGGAAACACACCGAAGUAUUGGUGGACUGGGGGGUGAAGGGACAUCCUGUGUGCAAAUUACUUACCAAUGGUUCAGGAAAAAAAUGUAUAUAGGUGUCUUCUUAUGAGUGUGUGUGUUGUGUAAGAGAGAGUGAGACAGAGAAAGAGUGAGAGAGAAAAUUAUAAAGUAAAUGUGGCCAUCAAGGGGAGAGAGAGGGAGUGAAGGAGGGAGGGAGAGACAACAGAGAGAGAGAGAGAGAGAAAAGAAAGAGCACGAACUUGGGAGUUAAGAAGUGUGUCACUGAACCCCAGACUUCUCGCUUUACCAACUGUGUACCUUGCGGGGAUGGGGAAGAGGGUAGAGAAGUUCUCCAUGUAAGUCUUUUAACUUUUCUGCAAGUCCGAAGUUAUUCAAAGAUUAAAAUAAUUGAGGCUGGGCACAGCAGCUCAUGCCCGUAAUCCCAGCACUUUGAGAGGCUGAGGUGGGCAGAUCACCUGAGGUCAGGAGCUCAAGACCACCCUGGCCAACGUGGUGAAACCCCAUCUCUACUAAAAAUACAAAAAUUAGCCAGGUGUGGUGGUGCAUGGCUGUAAUCCCAGCUACUAGGGAGGCUGAGGCAGGAGAGUCACUUGAACCUGGGAGGCAGAGGUGGCAGUGAGCCGAGAUGGUAUCACUGCACUCUAGCUUGGACAACAGAGGGAGACUCUGUCUCAAAAAAAUAAAUAGGCCGGGCGUGGUGGCUCACACCUCUAAUCCCAGCACUUUGAGAGACGGAGGUGGGCAGAUCGCUUGAGGUCAGGAGUUUGAGACCAGCCUGGCUACCAUGGUGAAACCCCAUCUCAAUUACAAAUUCAAAAAUUAGCCCAGCGAGGUGGUGGGCGCCUGUAAUCCCAGCUACUCAGGUGGUUGAGGCAGGAGAAUUGCUUUAACACAAGAGGUAGGGGUUCCAGUGAGCCAAGAUUAUGCCACUGCACUCCAGCCUGGGUGACAGAGUGAGACUCCGUCUCAAAUAAAUAAAUAAAUAAAAUAAAAUAAAAUAAAAAAUAGAGAGAGGGGGGAGAGAGAGAGAAUGACAGGGACAAAUAUAGACAAGUGUUUGGAGGAGUUUUCCUGUUAAAAGAAGGGAAAUGAGAUGGUAACUAUAGAGUGAAGUGGGGUCAGGGUAGGGUUUAUUUUAUUUACUUAUUUUUAGGGUUUGUUUUAAAGUGGAAACAAUAACAGCACUUUUACAUGCUGGAGGUGGGCAGGGGGUGGGGGCUGGAAGAGAAUACAACCCAGAGAAUAUGAAGGAUGCAGGAGAGAGAGAGGGAGAGUUACCAGAGGUAAGGAGGGAUGGAUGGGUUCCUGUGCCCAAGUGGCAGGUGGGCCUUUGCCAGGAGCACGGAUGGCUCAUCCACAGCACCAGAGGGGAAGGUAGAGGUGGUGGUUACACGUGGAGGAGGUGGGUGGAUGUGUCCUGGGAACUCACGGAAGUUUCCUCUGAUUGUUUCUAUUCCCCUGGGGACAUAGAAAGCAAGGUAGUCAGCUGAGGUUCUUUGGAGGUUGAAGAAGAAAGUGAGAAUCAGCUGUCUGGAAAAUGUAAGAUCUAUACAUUAGGGAAACAGGAUGAUUUCACUUCUCAACACUAAGAGGCUCACCUGAGUCAGUGAUUGCAAAGUUAACCCCCACUAUACCACCAGGGUCCCUUGGACCCAAAGUUAUAGCUGACUAAUCCAUUCUUCUUCCCACCCCGAGCCCCCAUUCAUUUCCGUUUCUUUUUGGAGCAAUUCUAGAUGUACAUACUGAUAUUUCAUGACCUUUGUUCUUUUACAGGUCUUCCAAUGAAAUAAAUAAGUUUCUUUCUUCCCCCCCUCUCCUCCCCCCCGCUUUUUUUUUUUUGAGAUGGAGUCUCACUCUGUUGCUCAGGCUGAAAUGCAGUGGCACGAUCUUGACUCACUGCGGCCUCUGCCUCCAGGUUUCAAGAGAUUCUCCCACCUCAGCCUCCCAAGUGGCUGGGUUUACAGGCAUGCACCACCAUGCCCGGCUAAUUUUUGUGGUUUUAAGGUGGGAAAUUAAAGAAAAAUAAAAUUAAAAAGAAAGAGAAAUAAAUUUUCAUGUAUUAGGCCGACUUGUCCCAGAGGCAGCAACGGGCACAGCCCAGACCCAGGAAAAGUCUUGAUAAUAUUAUCUAAUGUGCUCUGGAGACUCUCUCAGCAAUCCCUCAACAUAAGGAGAAGAAAAACAAAUUUUCCUUUGUUUUAUGGAAUGAGUUUAUAGAUUCCUGUUCUCUGUAACUGUAGGGUCCAGCCCUACUGGGCCUUGCGGGUUGUUCUCUUC